rnacentral:rRNA from 1 species
ACUCUCUCCUGAGAGUCAGUUGAAAGAUGGUUUCGGCUAUCACUUACGGAUGAGCCCGCGGCGCAUUAGCUAGUUGGUAGGGUAAUGGCCUACCAAGGCGACGAUGCGUAGCCGACCUGAGAGGGUGAUCGGCCACACUGGGACUGAGACACGGCCCAGACUCCUACGGGAGGCAGCAGUAGGGAAUCUUCCACAAUGGACGAAAGUCUGAUGGAGCAACGCCGCGUGAGUGAAGAAGGUUUUCGGAUCGUAAAACUCUGUUGUAAGGGAAGAACACGUACGAGAGUAACUGCUCGUACCUUGACGGUACCUUAUUAGAAAGCCACGGCUAACUACGUG